rnacentral:tRNA from 1 species
GGAGGUGUGGCAGAGCGGUUGAAUGCACUGGUCUUGAAAACCAGCGUUCCGAUACCUCGGGACCGUAGGUUCGAAUCCUACCACCUCCG